AACGAACGCUGGCGGCAGGCCUAAUACAUGCAAGUCGAGCGCAUUCUUCGGAAUGAGCGGCGGACGGGUGAGUAACGCGUGGGAAUAUGCCCUUCUCUAAGGAAUAGCCUCUGGAAACGGAGAGUAAUACCUUAUACGCCCUUCGGGGGAAAGAUUUAUCGGAGAAGGAUUAGCCCGCGUUAGAUUAGGUAGUUGGUGGGGUAAUGGCCUACCAAGCCUACGAUCUAUAGCUGGUUUGAGAGGAUGAUCAGCCACACUGGGACUGAGACACGGCCCAGACUCCUACGGGAGGCAGCAGUAGGGAAUCUUAGACAAUGGGGGCAACCCUGAUCUAGCCAUGCCGCGUGUGUGAUGAAGGCCCUAGGGUCGUAAAGCACUUUCGCCAGAGAUGAUAAUGACAGUAUCUGGUAAAGAAACCCCGGCUAACUCCGUGCCAGCAGCCGCGGUAAUACGGAGGGGGUUAGCGUUGUUCGGAAUUACUGGGCGUAAAGCGCACGUAGGCGGAUUAGUAAGUUAGAGGUGAAAUCCCAGGGCUCAACCCUGGAACUGCCUUUAAUACUGCUAGUCUUGAGUUCGAGAGAGGUAAGUGGAAUUCCGAGUGUAGAGGUGAAAUUCGUAGAUAUUCGGAGGAACACCAGUGGCGAAGGCGGCUUACUGGCUCGAUACUGA
rnacentral:rRNA from 1 species